AAGUUAGAAGCGAAAUAUUGCAUUUAGUUUCGACCUAAAUUUAUGGUUACUUAACCCUAACUUA
rnacentral:tRNA from 1 species